AGACUGAUCGGGGAUUUCUCCAAAGCAAUCAGCCCGGAGCUGGCAGUGAAUGGGAUUAAGGGAAGGGAGUAGUUUGGGACACAGAAACAAGGCAUUUAUCACCAGUUCAUUGGUUGAGGAAGUUACAUUUAGUUUACACGAUUUGAUAGAAAAGUACACUGGAUGCAGACACUUCCUGAGAACAAAGGACAAUGAAGGAGGACAAGUGUUAGGUGUGGGAGGAGUCAUGAACUGGGGGUGGCACAAUUAGGUCAGCUAACCACAGGAAAAACUCUUUUUGCUCAGAAAUUGUUUUCUGGCUCAACAUGAAUUUUAGGAUUUGUUUUUUUAUUUUAUUUUAUAAAACAUGCUCUUAGAAUUUUGAUUGGAAUUGCAUUAAGUUCACAUCAUUCCUGAUCUUAUGAUGCUUGCUUAAGUGAGUAGCUUUGCACUAAUGUCACCUUUUCUAUUCUCUUGCCCUGGCCCCAGAGCCUGGGGUGUCAUUUCUCAAAGAAUAGGAGUAACAGUGGGCCUUGGGAAGGCCUGUAGGCUGUGGGUCUAGCUGGUUCCUCAUGAGCUCUGAUCCCCUUGGAGGUCCCAAAUCUCUGCUGAUCACAAUGGCAGAUGAGAAAUGUCCAUGCCAUAGUUGCAAGUCACUCCAAACUAUUUAGAGUGGGCAUUCAUAGAAGAGGACAUAGAUGUCACAACAGUCACUUGCUGCCCAUGGAAUGGACAAAGGAGAAGCAGAUUUCACCAGGCUGUAAGCUGACAUAUAAAGCCACUCAGUGUGACCAACCAGUGCAAGCUGAGGAGCCAGGAAGCAUGAAGGCCCCCCCCCCAACCCAACCACUGCUCCAUUCCAGGCUCUUCCUGGGGCACAAGGCACAGGGAAUUAUAAAGGCCCUUGUCCUGAGCGCCACAAGAUAG
rnacentral:lncRNA from 1 species